rnacentral:rRNA from 1 species
UUGAUGGAGAGUUUGAUCCUGGCUCAGGACGAACGCUGGCGGCGGGCCUAACACAUGCAAGUCGAACGCACUCGACCUUCGGGUCAUAUGAGUGAGUGGCGAACGGGUGAGUAACACGUGAGAAACCUGCCCCGAAGACUGGAAUAACCCGAGGAAACUCGGGCUAAUACCGGAUGCCCCCAACUGAUCGCAUGAUCAGUUGAGGAAAUGCUCCGGCGCUUCGGGAGGGUCUCGCGGCCUAUCAGCUAGUUGGUGAGGUAACGGCUCACCAAGGCAACGACGGGUAGCUGGUCUGAGAGGACGAUCAGCCACACUGGGACUGAGACACGGCCCAGACUCCUACGGGAGGCAGCAGUGGGGAAUCUUGCGCAA